GAAGGACUGUGGCUCAGCGGGAGAGCAUUUGCUAGGUAUGUAGAAGCUUCCAGGUUCAAUCCAGGGCAUCUUCA
rnacentral:tRNA from 1 species